rnacentral:rRNA from 1 species
CAGGCUUAACACAUGCAAGUUGAGGGGCAGCAUGGUCUUAGCUUGCUAAGGCCGAUGGCGACCGGCGCACGGGUGAGUAACACGUAUCCAACCUGCCGUCUACUCUUGGACAGCCUUCUGAAAGGAAGAUUAAUACAAGAUGGCAUCAUGAGUCCGCAUGUUCACAUGAUUAAAGGUAUUCCGGUAGACGAUGGGGAUGCGUUCCAUUAGAUAGUAGGCGGGGUAACGGCCCACCUAGUCUUCGAUGGAUAGGGGUUCUGAGAGGAAGGUCCCCCACAUUGGAACUGAGACACGGUCCAAACUCCUACGGGAGGCAGCAGUGAGGAAUAUUGGUCAAUGGGCGAGAGCCUGAACCAGCCAAGUAGCGUGAAGGAUGACUGCCCUAUGGGUUGUAAACUUCUUUUAUAAAGGAAUAAAGUCGGGUAUGCAUACCCGUUUGCAUGUACUUUAUGAAUAAGGAUCGGCUAACUCCGUGCCAGCAGCCGCGGUAAUACGGAGGAUCCGAGCGUUAUCCGGAUUUAUUGGGUUUAAAGGGAGCGUAGAUGGAUGUUUAAGUCAGUUGUGAAAGUUUGCGGCUCAACCGUAAAAUUGCAGUUGAUACUGGAUAUCUUGAGUGCAGUUGAGGCAGGCGGAAUUCGUGGUGUAGCGGUGAAAUGCUUAGAUAUCACGAAGAACUCCGAUUGCGAAGGCAGCCUGCUAAGCUGCAACUGACAUUGAGGCUCGAAAGUGUGGGUAUCAAACAGGAUUAGAUACCCUGGUAGUCCACACGGUAAACGAUGAAUACUCGCUGUUUGCGAUAUACGGCAAGCGGCCAAGCGAAAGCGUUAAGUAUUCCACCUGGGGAGUACGCCGGCAACGGUGAAACUCAAAGGAAUUGACGGGGGCCCGCACAAGCGGAGGAACAUGUGGUUUAAUUCGAUGAUACGCGAGGAACCUUACCCGGGCUUAAAUUGCAGAUGAAUUACGGUGAAAGCCGUAAGCCGCAAGGCAUCUGUGAAGGUGCUGCAUGGUUGUCGUCAGCUCGUGCCGUGAGGUGUCGGCUUAAGUGCCAUAACGAGCGCAACCCUUGUUGUCAGUUACUAACAGGUCAUGCUGAGGACUCUGACAAGACUGCCAUCGUAAGAUGUGAGGAAGGUGGGGAUGACGUCAAAUCAGCACGGCCCUUACGUCCGGGGCUACACACGUGUUACAAUGGGGGGUACAGAGGGCCGCUACCACGCGAGUGGAUGCCAAUCCCAAAAACCUCUCUCAGUUCGGACUGGAGUCUGCAACCCGACUCCACGAAGCUGGAUUCGCUAGUAAUCGCGCAUCAGCCACGGCGCGGUGAAUACGUUCCCGGGCCUUGUACACACCGCCCGUCAAGCCAUGGGAGCCGGGGGUACCUGAAGUGCGUAACCGCGAGGAGCGCCCUAGGGUAAAACUGGUGACUGGGGC